rnacentral:lncRNA from 1 species
ACACACAAAGCAUUGUUUCAGGAAUCAAAAGAACCAAGAUAUAUAUUUCUUAUAGAGAAAUAUCACACUAGAACAUAACCCAAAGAGAAAUAAAUUACACAGCAAAAUAAGUUAGAGGGGAAGGGAGAACUGCUAAAUUGUGAGCUUACAAGCACAAAGGAAAAUGAAAGAUGGGGAAUUAGCUAAGGGUUGCAAACAACGCAAGCGAGGAGGAGAAUGGCAGAGGUGGUGGCAUCGUCUUCGCCGACAAUGCUGCUGCGCUUAAACCGACACAAUUUGCUCCUCAUCAUCAUGUUUUGCUCUUUCCUCUUCAAUGCUUCCAUUUGUUGCUGUUGCUGCUGCUGCUCUAAAAGGGUUGCUCCACCCUUUUUGGUAUUGUGCACUCUAGAAACCAUGUUGAGAGAGAGGGGUGUGUGUUUAGAGAGAGAGAGAGAGAAUGCUGAGAGAGAGGGGUGUGUUUAGAGAGAGAGAGAAGGGAGAGUAUAUGGAAUAGAAGAGAGAGUGGAGAAUUGGGGGGAGAGUGAGUGUAUGAUGGGUUUUAUAUGUGAGAAUGUUGAAGGAAAGGAGGG